rnacentral:rRNA from 1 species
GAUGAACGCUGGCGGCGUGCCUAAUACAUGCAAGUCGAGCGAACAGAUGAGGAGCUUGCUCCUCUGACGUUAGCGGCGGACGGGUGAGUAACACGUGGAUAACCUACCUAUAAGACUGGGAUAACUUCGGGAAACCGGAGCUAAUACCGGAUAAUAUAUUGAACCGCAUGGUUCAAUAGUGAAAGACGGUUUUGCUGUCACUUAUAGAUGGAUCCGCGCCGCAUUAGCUAGUUGGUAAGGUAACGGCUUACCAAGGCGACGAUGCGUACCCGACCUGAGAGGGUGAUCGGCCACACUGGAACUGAGACACGGUCCAGACUCCUACGGGAGGCAGCAGUAGGGAAUCUUCCGCAAUGGGCGAAAGCCUGACGGAGCAACGCCGCGUGAGUGAUGAAGGUCUUCGGAUCGUAAAACUCUGUUAUUAGGGAAGAACAAAUGUGUAAGUAACUAUGCACGUCUUGACGGUACCUAAUCAGAAAGCCACGGCUAACUACGUG